UUGUUGUGCUGUGCAGUGAGUGGCUGUGCAGAAAUUUUGGCACAGCAGUAUCACACGAGCCAUGCACCAUUGAGUCAACUCCCAGGCAUGGCAGAAUUUGCGUAAGCUGAUCGUCAGCUGGUACUCGCCGCUAUGUUCGCAGUUACUGUCGCCGUCAUGUGGCCCAAACAGGAGGUCACUGAAGACUGGCAGAUCCUCCUUCUGUCAGCUGUAGCUUCAAAAGAACAUGUUGUGCGAGAUGUUUGGGGCAAUCAGCAUUAUGCUUUUCAUUCUCCGGGUAGCCAGCGUUAUUUUCUGUCAAUGAAGAGUGGAAGAGCUUACAAGAUCAUGCUGUCACAGAACUCUGCAUAUGCAUAUGGUGUUUAAAGAUUGUAAUUGCUUGCUAAUGCUGCAGUCAUGUUACAGUCAUGUUUUCAAAUGUCCAUUAUAAAUUUGCUUCGAUUGCACAUUGUCAGUAACGGUUCUUGUCCAUACUGUAAAUAUUUCAUGAAAGAUUGAAUAUACCUCUGUUGAAGGUACUUCCCUAAUGUACCUUUACUGGGUGUGCGAGGUAUUUGAGGGCAUGAUGACGACUUAAGGAAUGGCAACAAUAUUUCAGGUCAGAUUAAAUAUAUGUGUGCCAAGUUUCGUACAUUGUUUCUGUUACCACUGUUUUGUAAGGUUGUCGAGUAAAGUGGCCUUAAGCCUCAGUUAUUGACUGAAUAUGGCCUUGAUAAUGGCUGGAUGCUAAGAUGAGAUAGUGCAUAUUGAUCUUGGGCAUUGCUUUCACAAUAGUAGUGUUUUUAAAAACAUUGCGUGGAGUCUCUCAGUGAUUCCCCCCUAGCAAGAAUUUUCAAUGUAUCGAUUAGGGUGAUUUAGCAUAGCGGAAUCCGGUUAUCAUAAUGCCAUUGACUGUACUGGAUUGUACGUGGGGUCCGCCUUCAUGACAAGGAGGAGGGCACUCCUGUCAAAUCAAGUUGGUCUUGUAUGAAACUGCUAGAUUCUCAGCACAUGAGUUCUGUGACCACCACCGUAUGUCGUAUUCUUUUACAUGCCUUUUCCCGAGUUUUACAGUGAAGUGAAUUGGGAAAUUACGCUGCUAGUAUGUGCGCUUUCCGCUCCAGUUCUUAUCGGCCAACAAGAAAUAGAAAAGCAAGUAGCUCCUGCCUAUCGAACUAUAUUGAUAUCGAUACGAAACUUUCUAUUGUAUUCUUUUACAUGCCUUUUCUGAGUUGUACAGUGACGUAAUUUGGGAAAUUGCGCUGCUAUGUGCACUCCCCGCUCUAGUACUUAUCGGUCCAACAGGAAACAAAAAGGCAACAAGUAGUUCCUGCUUAUCGAACUAUAUUGGUAUUGAUAUGAACCUAUUGGUCAAAUAACAGUCACUUAUUGUACCCUAUUGGUGUGAUACAAACUCUGUUGGUCUAAUAUGCAACAAAUAGAUAUCACUUAUUUGAGCCUAUUUAUACUAAUACAAUCAUUUAGGCUCUAAAAUAAUCCAAAUAAAGCCCAUGGAGUUCUAAUACAUUACCAAUACAACCCAUAGGACAGUCCUCUUGAACCAGUAGAAAAUUUUAUUGGUAUAUUUGCGAGGGUCUCCAUACAUAGCACUGUGGCAGGUUAAAAUAUGGGGAACUAGGUUGGCACAUUGAGGCUUAGACGACCAAAGAAGGUCACAGCCAGCCAUUCUUAUGUUGCGCUGGCCCUGGGGGAGCAAGUGAAUCUGUUAUAAUGACAUUGUGCACACAAAGCUUGGGUGUUGACUCUGCCAUGUGAAAUUUCUUGGCAAUGACCCUAAUUGGCUUUCCCGAGCUCUCGUUUCAUGAUAAGCUCUACCUAGGGGAAAAACUCGAUAUUCUGGAUUGUGUUUGGCCACUGGUAGCACUUAUUUCUGUUUCUCACAGAUGUAAGGUGGCCAUGAACUCUUCUGUCCUCAUGAAAGCAAAGGAUUUUGUAACAUUCAAGCAGGUGGAAGUCUCGGAAGUCGAUGUGGUCGGCAUGUAAGGUGACCAGGACAACAUAUAGCUUCAUCUGUAUGAGACUGAAAGCUGCUACCCCAGAAUAAAUGUGCUAGGUAGGUAACAGAGGAGUUGUUAUUAAGCGCAUAGACAGAUAGAAUGAGAAUGUUAAUUUUGAAGAUGUGUCCUCCAAUACCUCGUGCACCCAGUAUACAUGGAAGAACACUAUUUACGCACGGAAACUAACAUGACACUCUUGCCAUAUAACAAGAAGUGAGAUAGUGUUAGGUUCUUGUCUUUCAGCUGUGUGUGUUCUGCAAAAUGUACUCGGAAUGACUUUUAGAAGUCAGCUGUGAUCGGAGUGUUGUAUGCUCAAGAAUUUUUUAUUGCGAUGUCAAGGACUAAGGCUUUUAUUUUUAUCAAGACAAGCAUGAUUCUGUAUUCUUUGUAACAUGCAGCAUUGCAGAAUAGCUCAUGCACCAUGCUUAUGUGUUUUGACGGAAUUGCUUUGUAGAAAUAUUAGUGUGCUGAUGAGCUGUACUUGUUGUCUUCCCAGAAAGGACUAAGCCGAUUUCUCGCCUGUUCAUAUUUGGUGCACUGGUACUUUAGCAAGUUGAUUUUUGCUUUUAGGUAAUUAAAAUGUGGAGCCUUCUUUUCUUUUUUUC